AAGUCGUAACAAGGUUUCCGUAGGUGAACCUGCGGAAGGAUCAUUAACGAAGGCGAGAAUUUCUAGUAGAUUCUCGUUUGAUCAACCACAGUCCAAUUUGUGCGAAUAUGGGGAAACCCACAGUGCUUUUUUAAUUAAUAAAACAAAACUUUCAACAACGGAUCUCUUGGCUCUU
rnacentral:misc_RNA from 1 species